UGAGGAAUAUUGGUCAAUGGGCGCGAGCCUGAACCAGCCAAGUAGCGUGAAGGAUGAAGGUCCUACGGAUUGUAAACUUCUUUUAUAAGGGAAUAAAGUCACCCACGUGUGGGUGUUUGUAUGUACCUUAUGAAUAAGCAUCGGCUAACUCCGUGCCAGCAGCCGCGGUAAUACGGAGGAUGCGAGCGUUAUCCGGAUUUAUUGGGUUUAAAGGGAGCGUAGACGGGUCGUUAAGUCAGCUGUGAAAGUUUGAGGCUCAACCUUAAAAUUGCAGUUGAUACUGGCGUCCUUGAGUACGGUUGAGGCAGGCGGAAUUCGUGGUGUAGCGGUGAAAUGCUUAGAUAUCACGAAGAACCCCGAUUGCGAAGGCAGCCUGCUAAACCGCCACUGACGUUGAGGCUCGAAAGUGUGGGUAUCAAACAGGAUUAGAUACCCUGGUAGUCCACACGGUAAACGAUGGAUACUCGCUGUUGGCGAUAGACUGUCAGCGGCUUAGCGAAAGCGUUAAGUAUCCCACCUGGGGAGUACGCCGGCAACGGUGAAACUCAAAGGAAUUGACGGGGGCCCGCACAAGCGGAGGAACAUGUGGUUUAAUUCGAUGAUACGCGAGGAACCUUACCCGGGCUUAAAUUGCAUUUGAAUAAUCUGGAAACAGGUUAGCCGCAAGGCAAAUGUGAAGGUGCUGCAUGGUUGUCGUCAGCUCGUGCCGUGAGGUGUCGGCUUAAGUGCCAUAACGAGCGCAACCCUUAUCUUUAGUUACUAACAGGUCAUGCUGAGGACUCUAGAGAGACUGCCGUCGUAAGAUGUGAGGAAGGUGGGGAUGACGUCAAAUCAGCACGGCCCUUACGUCCGGGGCUACACACGUGUUACAAUGGGGGGUACAGAAGGCAGCUACCUGGCGACAGGAUGCUAAUCCCAAAAACCUCUCUCAGUUCGGAUCGAAGUCUGCAACCCGACUUCGUGAAGCUGGAUUCGCUAGUAAUCGCGCAUCAGCCAUGGCGCGGUGAAUACGUUCCC
rnacentral:rRNA from 1 species